rnacentral:lncRNA from 1 species
GUUCCAGAGUGCAAGAGUCAUUCAUCCACACGGAUUCAAAGUCCUGAUUGUUUGCCAGAUUUGCAUUUACUAUAUGGUCCACAGCAACAGCAUACUGCAAGCAAACCUGAAUAUCUGAUGCUCAGCUGCUGGGGCAACCUGGUUCAAGCUCUGGAGAGAGGGCUCCACAGGUGCAUGCCUGCUCAGCACAGGCUGAGACUGUGGGUGUUUUGUCUGGACACUUUGGAAUGACUCAGAUGAACAGCUCCAUGUCAUUCUGAGGAAAAGGAGGUCACAGCCCAGAGGACUAAGGAAACAUGUCCUUGCAUUCAACUUUCACUUUGUUCGGCUUGGAUUUCUCCCAGCAGAUUGGGCCGUGACACGUCCCUUGGAGCUCAGCUGUGACCCAUCACAUUCCCAACAACGUUGUCUUCUAUUUUCUAGGUAUAAGAAAUCACCUUUCAGGGGAAGAGUUACCCUGCAAGCAAACACGGAUGUCUUCUACUGA